UACAGAGGGUGCAAGCGUUAAUCGGAAUUACUGGGCGUAAAGGGCGCGUAGGUGGUUAUUUAAGUUAGAUGUGAAAGCCCCGGGCUUAACCUGGGAAGAGCAUCUGAUACUGGAUAGCUAGAGUAGAGGAGAGGGAAGUGGAAUUUCCGGUGUAGCGGUGAAAUGCGUAGAUAUCGGAAAGAACACCAGUGGCGAAGGCGGCUUCCUGGACUCAUACUGACACUGAGGCGCGAAAGCGUGGGGAGCAAACAGG
rnacentral:rRNA from 1 species